rnacentral:rRNA from 1 species
UACGUAGGCAGCAAGCGUUGUUCGGAGUUACUGGGCGUAAAGGGUGUGUAGGCGGUUGGAUAAGUGUGGUGUGAAAUCUCCCGGCUUAACUGGGAGGGUGCGCUACAAACUGUCUGACUAGAGUGUGGGAUGGGUAAGUGGAAUUCCUGGUGUAGCGGUGAAAUGCGUAGAUAUCAGGAGGAACACCGAUGGCGAAGGCAGGUCACUGGGCCGCAACUGACGCUGAGGAGCGAAAGCAUGGGGAGCGAACAGG